rnacentral:rRNA from 1 species
CCCAGACUCCUACGGGAGGCAGCGGUGGGGGAUAUUGCACAAUGGGCGAAAGCCUGAUGCAGCGACGCCGCGUGAGGGAAGACGGUCUUCGGAUUGUAAACCUCUGUCUUUGGGGAAGAAUAGAGACGGUACCCAAAGAGGAAGCUCCGGCUAACUACGUGCCAGCAGCCGCGGUAAUACGUAGGGAGCGAGCGUUGUCCGGAAUUACUGGGUGUAAAGGGAGCGUAGGCGGGCUUGUAAGUUGAAUGUCUAAUCCACCGGCUCAACCGGUGAUCGCGUUCAAAACUGCAGGUCUUGGGUACUGGAGAGGCAGACGGAAUUCCUAGUGUAGCGGUGAAAUGCGUAGAUAUUAGGAGGAACACCAGUGGCGAAGGCGGUCUGCUGGACAGCAACUGACGCUGAGGCGCGAAAGCGUGGGGAGCAAACAGGAUUAGAUACCCCUGUAUA